GAUAAACGCUGGCGGCGCGCAUGAGACAUGCAAGUCGAACGAACGAGCUUGCUCGUUAGUGGCGAACGGCUGAGUAACGCGUAGGUGACCUGCCCUGAAGUGGGGUAUAACGGCCCGAAAGGUUGCUAAUACCGCAUGUGGCGACGCUUUCAUUGGCGCCAUCAAAGCCGCGAGGCGCUUCAGGAGGGGCCUGCGUCCGAUUAGCUCGUUGGUGGGGUAAUGGCUCACCAAGGCGACGAUCGGUAGGUGGUCUGAGAGGACGAUCACCCAGACUGGGACUGAGACACGGCCCAGACUCCUACGGGAGGCAGCAGUCGGGAAUUUUUGCUCAAUGGGGGAAACCCUGAAGCAGCAACGCCGCGUGAGGGAUGAA
rnacentral:rRNA from 1 species